GGCGCCUGGCGGGGUCGCGCGGUCCCCGCUCCGAGGGGCUGCGGGAGGGAGCGGCCCGCCCAGGGGCACCGCGGGCGGCCCCGGCGCCGGGCGGACCGCGGCCUUGGGCCCAGCCCGGGUGGUGCGCGCCCUGCUCCGCCUGCCGCCGUGUGACCUUGGGCCUAGCCGGUGGCCCGCGCCGCCGAGACCCGGGCUGCGGGCCGGCAGUGCCCGCCGCUCGCUCCAGCCCGUCUUCUCCUAGGCCCCAGCGCUCCCCCGGAGCGGUCGCCUCUCCCCACCUGGCGCUCACCCGCCUGCCCAGGCGAUGCCGGCCCUGCCAAGUCCGGGAACCGGGCCACUGCGCGACUCUCCAGGGUGCCCUGCCGAUCGAUCCAACAAGCCCCAGUAUGUCCUUUUCCUCCAUUGGGAUUCAUGAGCGUCAUCCAAGAGUACUUAGCAGCAUUAAGGAGCAGAGGACAUGGGAGGCCCUGAAUCCCAACUCCAGCCAAUCAAGGGGCUGGGCACACAGCAUUCCACUAUCUGCUGAACCAAUGACACAAUGAUGACCAUUUGUCCAGCAGUUGUGCAGGAGUCACUUCGCCUGCUGUAGUAUCUCACUAUCCACACCACCAUUCUGCAGGUAUGUGCUAUGAUCCCUGUCACGGGUGAGAAACUGAGAUUCAUAGACGUUAAAGUAUUUGCCCAAAGUCACUCCCAACAGUCAAGGGGCAAGGCCCAGAUUCCACCUCAGGUGACGUUUGGGUACCAACAAAGUACUGGAUGACACAAUUGAAUUUCUCCAGAGACUGGGAAUAGAAGCCCUCUAAGGACAUGACUGGAGACUAUGACACUCUCAGAACAAAGGACUCUGAACAAUCAAUGCAAGGCUCUGAGCAGAAGACCCACAUGACCCAGGAUGCUUCAAAGCCACUGUAAGCAAGUGUACUCUACAGGCCCCAUGAAGCUGGGUUUUAAUCACACUCCUCCGGAGACUCAUGCAGGGCUCUGGAUAAGUUAAUAGCAAAAUGAACCGACAACUGUGGCUACUGUGUACAAAAUGAUGGCAGAAGAGCAAGGACAGAGGCCAGGAGACCAGUGAGAUUGGAACUUGAGGGAAGAAGCUGCACUGACAAAAGCCCUGGCUUUCAGUCUCCCACCUGCUUGUAUCCUUGAAAAUCCAUAAACUGGAGUAUAAUCGCCAAGGUAGUGGCAUCAGGAGAUACUAAGUCUGGAAGGUGGUUAAGUCAUAGAUGAAAUGACUGACUCUGAAAGAGGGCAAAUAAGUCAGGAACUGGUGGCUUACUGCUGUAAUCCUAGCUACUCAGUAGGCUGAGUUCUGAGGGCUGAGAUUCAGUGUCAGCGUGGACAGAAAACCCCAUGAUACUUUUAUCACCAAUUAACCAGCAAAAAGCUGUAAGUGGCUAUGUGACUCAAGUGGACAUUACAUAAUCACUAUCUGCAACUCUUUACUCUUCUAAUUGGUAGCUUUAUUAGGUCUGCAAAAAUAAAACACUGCCGGCUCAUGCCAAUUCCUUGCCCCAAGCAAAAUGAUGGCAGCAGAGGUACUAUCAUACAAGGCACCAAAAUUCUCUACCGAAACUGCAAGAUGUGACAUCGACAUAUAAAUACUUGAGGAUCCCAAAGAAUCAGGCAGCUCUUAGUGCUUGCCCAGAUGAAGCAGGCAGGCCAGUAAGCUGCCAAUGUGAAGUUUCUAAACUAUUUUUUGUUGAUGGUUGUGGUGCUUGAACUCUACAACUUCCAACCCUAUCUGUUCCUGGUUAUCUUGGAGAUGGCAUUUCAAGGUCUUUCCUUGUCCAGCUGACAUAAAUGGUCCUCAGCUCAGCCUCCCGAGUAGCUAGGGUGGUAGGUGUGAGCCCCGAGCUCUUGUGACAGCCAGCUGAAACUCUGGACCUUACUUGACUUCCUCUCACCAUUUGAGCCACAGCUCCUGUUUUCUGCCCCAACCAGCUUCAAACCAUGAUUCUCAGAUCUGUCUCCUGAAUAGUUAGGAUUAUAGGCAUGAGCUCUGAGACCCAAAAACCCUUUGUUAAACGUGACUUAUUCCUAUUUAUUUCACACAAUUUUCCAAGUUUUUGCUUAGUUUUACACAUUAAAAUGUUGUGGUAGGGCUGGGAA